AGUUAAGCUCAGGGUUGCCACUUUGCCUUUGUAUAGGAUGUGCAGCUCCAGCAUGCAGAAUCCCGGGAAAAAAAUUAUGUCUUUAGGACCAGCUUGAAUAAAGUGAACCAUGCAUUUUUGAAAUGUGAUGUGUGCUUCAAGCGGCACCUUCUAUGCCUCUAUUCUGAUGUCACGUGCAUCUUUGAACAACCAGAAUGGCUGUCACAUGAACCAAAGCUAUCAAGGACUUUCUGCCCAUCUACAGACAUAAAUAUUAUUUAUUCAUACACUUCUAGUCUAUAGGAAAUGCCACCAAUUUCUUCCAUCUGCAAGUAGAGUGCAUGGAUACUGGUAGCUCCCUAAAACUGUUUGGUUUCCGAGGGUUUCCUUUGAAGUAUGGUGUACAGAUGUGAGUGUGUGCCAUUGUGUACAUGUGGAGAUCAAAAGACAACUUGCAGGAGUUAUUUCUCUCCACUCAUUGUGUGAGUUCUGCAGAUUGACGUCAGGGCGUUGGGCUUGAUGAUGGGGGGCUGAGCCAUCUUUCUGGCCCAUAUGCUGUGAUGUUAACAACUAUAUUACAAGUCUUUGGCUUUAUGUUCAUGUAAAGUGCUAUUCGGUAUGCAUGCAAUUUAUAACCCCCUGAAAUGUUGAGAAACAAAUCUAUGGUUUCUUUGAAUCAAAUUAAAAAUCUCAAAAGCUUUGGGUAAUAAGCCUGA